GACGAACGCUGGCGGCGUGCUUAACACAUGCAAGUCGAACGGAAAGGCCCUGCUUUUGUGGGGUGCUCGAGUGGCGAACGGGUGAGUAACACGUGAGUAACCUGCCCUUGACUUUGGGAUAACUUCAGGAAACUGGGGCUAAUACCGGAUAGGAGCUCCUGCUGCAUGGUGGGGGUUGGAAAGUUUCGGCGGUUGGGGAUGGACUCGCGGCGUAUCAGCUUGUUGGUGGGGUAGUGGCUUACCAAGGCUUUGACGGGUAGCCGGCCUGAGAGGGUGACCGGCCACAUUGGGACUGAGAUACGGCCCAGACUCCUACGGGAGGCAGCAGUGGGGAAUAGUGCACAAUGGGCGGAAGCCUGAUGCAGCAACGCCGCGUGCGGGAUGACGGCCUUCGGGUUGUAAACCGCUUUCGCCUGUGACGAAGCGUGAGUGACGGUAAUGGGUAAAGAAGCACCGGCUAACUACGUG
rnacentral:rRNA from 1 species